rnacentral:rRNA from 1 species
UACGUAGGGUGCGAGCGUUAAUCGGAAUUACUGGGCGUAAAGCGUGCGCAGGCGGUUCGCUAAGACCGAUGUGAAAUCCCCGGGCUUAACCUGGGAACUGCAUUGGUGACUGGCGGGCUAGAGUAUGGCAGAGGGGGGUAGAAUUCCACGUGUAGCAGUGAAAUGCGUAGAGAUGUGGAGGAAUACCAAUGGCGAAGGCAGCCCCCUGGGCCAAUACUGACGCUCAUGCACGAAAGCGUGGGGAGCAAACAGG